CCUCGAAUGUUGAAACAGAAGACUGCUCCAAAUUGAACAAAAAGAGGGCACAUAAAAAGCCAUAAGGAUUUGUGUCAGACAUUGAUUCUUCCUCAGAUGAAGAUGGCAGAGUUUUACCAAAGGAGAAUACAGAUGUGUCAAAACCUCAUCCACCGAAAUCACAGAGGAUCAGUUUCUAGCAGCACUGCAAGACAGGCCUACAGGAGAAUCGGAGGGAAAACCAAAAACAGGACAAUCCUUCCAG